CGGUAAUUCCAGCUCCAAUAGCGUAUACUAACGUUGUUGCAGUUAAAAAGCUCGUAGUUGGAUUUCUGAUCUUUGCCAAUGGUUGUGUCGCCGCGUGCGAGGCGCCUUGCGCAGAGGUCAACAUAUGUCACGAGCCAGUGUGGUCUAUUCAUUUAGGUCCACUGGGUAAUGACUCGUUUACUUUGAGAAAAUUAGAGUGUUCAAAGCAGGCAUUUGCCUUGAAUAUGUUAGCAUGGAAUAAUAGCAUAGGACUUCGGUUCUAUUUGUUGGUUGUUCGAGAACUGGAGUAAUGAUUGAUAGGGACGGUUGGGGGCAUCCGUAUUCUCAAGCGAGAGGUGAAAUUCUUGGACCUUGGGAAGACGAACAGCUGCGAAAGCGUUUGCCUAGGACGUUCUCUUUAAUUAAGAACGAAAGUUGGGGGAUCGAAGACGAUCAGAUACCGUCGUAGUCUCAACUAUAAACUAUGCCAGCUAGGGAUCGGUGGGUCUUUGUCACGAGUCCAUCGGCACCUUACGAGAAAUCAAAGCAUUUGGGUUCCGGGGGGAGUAUGGUCGCAAGGCUGAAGCUUAAAGGAAUUGACGGAAGGGCACCACCAGGAGUGGAGCCUGUGGCUUAAUUUGACUCAACACGGGAAAACUUACCAGGUCCGGACAUAGUAAGGAUUGACAGAUUGAAAGCUCUUUCUUGAUUCUAUGGGUGGUGGUGCAUGGCCGUUCUUAGUUGGUGGAGUGAUUUGUCUGGUUAAUUCCGUUAACGAACGAGACCCGCGCCUGCUAAAUAGUCGGCCUCACUUCUGUGGGUGUUGUACUUCUUAGAGGGACCAUCCUGGGUAUACCGGAAGGAAGUUGCGGGCAAUAACAGGUCUGUGAUGCCCUUAGAUGUUCUGGGCUGCACACGGGCUACACUGCAAGAUACAACAAGCGUCGAUCACGCCUGACUGGAAGGUCCGGCCAAUCUUUGAAUAUCUUGCGUGAUUGGGAUAGACCAUUGCAAUUAUUGGUCUUCAACGAGGAAUUCCUAGUAAACGCGUGUCAACAACACGCAUUGAUUACGUCCCUGCCCUUUGUACACACCGCCCGUCGCUCCUACCGAUUGGAUGUUUCGAUGAGCCGUUUGGAGGACUAAGCUGAAAGCGUCAGCCGGAAGCUACGUCCGAAAUUCUGCAAAUCUGAAUAUCUAGAGGAAGGAGAAGUCGUAACAGGGUAACC
rnacentral:rRNA from 1 species